GGACGGGUGAGUAACGCGUGAGAACAUGCCUUUAGAUUGGGGACAACAGUUGGAAACGACUGCUAAUACCGAAUGUGCCUUAGGGUGAAAGAUUUAUUGUCUAGAGAUUGGCUCGCGUCAGAUUAGCUAGUUGGAGUGGUAACGGCACACCAAGGCGACGAUCUGUACUUGGUCUGAGAGGAUGACCAGGCACACUGGAACUGAGACACGGUCCAGUCUCCUACGGGAGGCAGCAGUGGGGAAUUUUCCGCAAUGGGCGAAAGCCUGACGGAGCAAUACCGCGUGAGGGAGGACGGCUUUUGGGUUGUAAACCUCUUUUAUCAGGGAAGAAUCGAUGACGGUACCUGAUGAAUCAGCAUCGGCUAACUCCGUGCCAGCAGCCGCGGUAAUACGGAGGAUGCAAGCGUUAUCCGGAAUUAUUGGGCGUAAAGC
rnacentral:rRNA from 1 species